rnacentral:rRNA from 1 species
UACAGAGGGUGCUAGCGUUGUUCGGAAUCAUUGGGCGUAAAGGGCGUGUAGGCGGUUUGUUAAGUCAUGUGUGAAAUCCCUCGGCUCAACCGGGGAACGACGCAUGAAACUGGCAAGCUGGAGUACCAAAGAGGGGGGUGGAAUUCCCGGUGUAGCGGUGAAAUGCGUAGAUAUCGGGAAGAACACCUAUGGCGAAAGCAGCUCUCUGGGACGGUACUGACGCUGAGACGCGAAAGCGUGGGGAGCGAACAGG